UACGUAGGCAGCGAGCGUUGUUCGGAGUUACUGGGCGUAAAGAGUGCGUAGGCGGCCGCCUAAGUCAGACGUGAAAUCCCUCGGCUCAACCGGGGAACUGCGUCUGAUACUGGGUGGCUUGAAUCCGGGAGAGGGAUGCGGAAUUCCAGGUGUAGCGGUGAAAUGCGUAGAUAUCUGGAGGAACACCGGUGGCGAAGGCGGCAUCCUGGACCGGUAUUGACGCUGAGGCGCGAAAGCCAGGGGAGCAAACGGG
rnacentral:rRNA from 1 species